rnacentral:rRNA from 1 species
CUGGCUCAGGAUGAACGCUAGCUACAGGCUUAACACAUGCAAGUCGAGGGGCAGCAUUGGAGUAGCAAUACUUCAGAUGGCGACCGGCGCACGGGUGAGUAACACGUAUCCAACCUGCCGCUUACUCGGGGAUAGCCUUUCGAAAGAAAGAUUAAUACCCGAUGGUAUAAAGAGUUCGCAUGUUCUCUUUAUUAAAGAAUUUCGGUAAGCGAUGGGGAUGCGUUCCAUUAGAUAGUUGGCGGGGUAACGGCCCACCAAGUCUACGAUGGAUAGGGGUUCUGAGAGGAAGGUCCCCCACAUUGGAACUGAGACACGGUCCAAACUCCUACGGGAGGCAGCAGUGAGGAAUAUUGGUCAAUGGACGAGAGUCUGAACCAGCCAAAAGUAGCGUGAAGGAUGACUGCCCUAUGGGUUGUAAACUUCUUUUAUAAGGGAAUAAAGUGAGGGACGUGUCCCUUUUUGUAUGUACCUUAUGAAUAAGGAUCGGCUAACUCCGUGCCAGCCGCCGC